GCCCCCGCAAUGUGCCCGGCAGUCUGCGGGCAGCGCCUGGGCCGCUCGUCCUUUCUUAGACCACCGCAGCUCCUUCCCUCGUUCGGCAGAGGGUCCCCGCCUCCUCUCGAGCACCGCCACCGCCACCGCAGCGCUCCGUGCCUCUGGUCGACCCCCCGGCGCUGCCGGCUCCUACCUCGAAGGUCUGGGGCUCCGUGACACCCGUUCACACAGAGGGUGGUGACGCACUGGAACAGGUUGCCCAAGGAGGCUGUGGAUGCCCCAUCCCUGGAGGCAUUCAAGGCCAGGCUGGAUGUGGCUCUGGGCAGCCUGGUCUGGUGGUUGGCGACCCUGCAUGUAGCAGGGGGUUGAAACUCGAUGAUCACUGCGGUCCUUUUCAACCCAGGCCGUUCUAUGGCUCUGUGAUUAGUCCAGAAGAGAUGAGUCUCUGAACCAGAGCCCAGGGUUUUUGAAUCUCUCAUAGCAGUCUAUGAUUUAAGAGAACUGCCAAACCGUUUUCCGUCACAUACUUAGAAUUAAAAUGAUGGAGCGGUUUGGAGGGUACCCCUGAAGGUACACAUCCAGGGGAGAAAGGCUUCUGGCCUGCGAUUGGCAUUGCCACAGAGCCAGUGCCGGGCCUUCACAAGCUGCGCUGUUGCAGCAAAGCGGGGAAAUCCCACAACUCUGAACUUUACACUUCUGUUAAGUAUAAAACUGAACGCUGCAAAGCUUCACAGCUGGCUCCAGGUGUACAGAUCUCGCAGCCAAUUGCAGAAAACACUGAGGAUGGUGCUGAAAGCACCGAUGCGGCUCAAAGCACGGAUUCUGCACAGUUGUGGUGUUAAAGCUGCUCCAGGGAGGCCUCAUUGCAGCCUUCCAGUGCUUGGAAGGAGCUUACAAACGGGAGGGGGACUGACUUUUGUCCAGGUACAUAGUGAUAGGAUGAGGGGGAAUGGAUUUAAGCUGAAAGAGAGGAGAUUUGGGUUAUAUGUUAGGAAGAAAUUCCUCACUCAGAAGGCGGUGAGGCGCUGGCACAGCUGCCCAGAGAAGCUGUGGUGCCCCAUCCCUGGAGGCGCUCAAGGCCAGGUCGGAUGGGGCCCUGGGCAGCUGAGCUGGGGGGUGGCAGCUGGAUGAUCUUUGAGGUCCCUUCCAACCUAAGCCAUUUUGUGAUUCUUUCCUUCCCAAACACCACUACCUCUCUGGGCUGCAGAUUUCCUUUGAGGAGCAAAGGGCUGUUCUGCUUCUGAAGGCUUUGCUGUUAUGCUGAAUUACGUGGAGAUGAACAAGCGUCACAGCUCCACGCCUGGGGACUCGGCUGUACACUGCUCAGUUUCUCCAGCAGUGAAGCGUGCUUUACAGCUGCUUGCACUUCAUAAAGUGCUCAGCAGAAGCGUGGAAAAAGAAGAAUGUGGUACUGGCAAGGAAGGCUCCGUUUGGUGAGCUAAUAAAACAAAUGGAUGAAGAGCGUGGUUUUAAUUCCCACUGGCUACUUCUUCACUGCCGGCCAAAACAUGACAGAGAGACGUGAAAUGGGCUCCUGCUGCAACACAGGCAGAGGGCUGGCUUGGGCUCAGGGAAGCUGUUGAAAAACAAAGUCGUUACCUGAACAGUUGAAAUGCAAGAAAAUAUCUGACCCUAAAAAACCUUCCUGGACGUUAGAUGGAGUGUUAUGCCCUUCAGUGAGUUUGUUAACAUCCUUGGAAGAACAAAAUAAAGUAGAGAUACAAAGGGCA